GGCCAAUCAAACUGGGAAAUAGCUCGUACUCUCCGAAAUGCAUUUAGGUGCAGCCUCUGUUGUUUUGUUCUAGAGGUAGAGCUACUGAUUGGAUGCGAGGGCUUCACCGCCUAUCAAAUCCGGCCAAACUCCGAAUGCUAGAACAUAAAGACAGGGAGUGAGCCAGCGGGUGCUAAGGUCCGUUGACGAAAGAGGGAGAACUCAGACCAUCAGCUAAGGUCCCCAAUUAUAUGCUAAGUUGGAAUAAAAACGGGGUGGGACUGCUUAGACAGCUAGGAUGUUGGCUUGGAAGCAGCCAUUCAUUUAAAGAGUGCGUAACAGCUCACUAGUCGAGCGGUCCUGCAUGGAUAAUACGCGGGCAUAAGCAUAUAACCGAAGCUAUGGGAUUGUAGAUGAUACAAUCGGUAGGAGAGCAUUCCAUUCAGCAUAGAAGCAGUAUCGUGAGGUAUUGUGGAGCGGAUGGAAAAGCAAAUGUAGGCAUAAGUAACGAUAAUGCGGGUGAGAACCCCGCACGCCGAAAGAUCAAGGAUUCCCCGGCAAUGUCAAUCAUCCGGGGGUAAGUCGGAUCCUAAGGGUAAGCCGAGUGGCGAUCCCGAUGGUAAACAGGUUAAUAUUCCUGUACUGAUCAUAACUGCGAUGCAGCGACGCAGAGGUGACACUGCUGCGUACUGACGGAAUAGUACGUUGAAACCCGUAUUCUUUGAUACCGGUAGUGAAGCACGCCGGUAGAGAUGAAAGGUGAUAGUACCGCAAUGCUUCGGUUGCGCGGAUAAUGCAGGUAAGCUGACUGCCAAGAAAACCUGCUAAGCUUCAGGUAAUGAUCAUCCGUACUGUAAACGGACA
rnacentral:rRNA from 1 species